rnacentral:rRNA from 1 species
UUAAGCGACUAAGCGUACACGGUGGAUGCCCUGGCAGUCAGAGGCGAUGAAGGGCGUGCUAAUCUGCGAUAAGCGCCGGUAAGGUGAUAUGAACCGUUAUAACCGGCGAUACCCGAAUGGGGAAACCCAGUGUGAUUCGUCACACUAUCAUUAACUGAAUCCAUAGGUUAAUGAGGCGAACCGGGGGAACUGAAACAUCUAAGUACCCCGAGGAAAAGAAAUCAACCGAGAUUCCCCCAGUAGCGGCGAGCGAACGGGGAGGAGCCCAGAGCCUGAAUCAGCAUGUGUGUUAGUGGAAGCGUCUGGAAAGGCGCGCGAUACAGGGUGACAGCCCCGUACACAAAAGCGCAUGUGCUGUGAGCUCGAUGAGUAGGGCGGGACACGUGGUAUCCUGUCUGAAUAUGGGGGGACCAUCCUCCAAGGCUAAAUACUCCUGACUGACCGAUAGUGAACCAGUACCGUGAGGGAAAGGCGAAAAGAACCCCGGCGAGGGGAGUGAAAAAGAACCUGAAACCGUGUACGUACAAGCAGUGGGAGCACAGGUUUACCUGUGUGACUGCGUACCUUUUGUAUAAUGGGUCAGCGACUUAUAUUCUGUAGCAAGGUUAACCGAAUAGGGGAGCCGGAGGGAAACCGAGUCUUAAUUGGGCGUUAAGUUGCAGGGUAUAGACCCGAAACCCGGUGAUCUAGCCAUGGGCAGGUUGAAGGUUGGGUAACACUAACUGGAGGACCGAACCGACUAAUGUUGAAAAAUUAGCGGAUGACCUGUGGCUGGGGGUGAAAGGCCAAUCAAACCGGGAGAUAGCUGGUUCUCCCCGAAAGCUAUUUAGGUAGCGCCUCGUGAAUUCAUCUCCGGGGGUAGAGCACUGUUUCGGCUAGGGGGCCAUCCCGGCUUACCAACCCGAUGCAAACUGCGAAUACCGGAGAAUGUUAUCACGGGAGACACACGGCGGGUGCUAACGUCCGUCGUGAAGAGGGAAACAACCCAGACCGCCAGCUAAGGUCCCAAAGUCAUGGUUAAGUGGGAAACGAUGUGGGAAGGCCCAGACAGCCAGGAUGUUGGCUUAGAAGCAGCCAUCAUUUAAAGAAAGCGUAAUAGCUCACUGGUCGAGUCGGCCUGCGCGGAAGAUGUAACGGGGCUAAACCAUGCACCGAAGCUGCGGCAGCGACGCUGAUGCGUUGUUGGGUAGGGGAGCGUUCUGUAAGCCUGCGAAGGUGGCCUGUGAGGGUUGCUGGAGGUAUCAGAAGUGCGAAUGCUGACAUAAGUAACGAUAAAGCGGGUGAAAAGCCCGCUCGCCGGAAGACCAAGGGUUCCUGUCCAACGUUAAUCGGGGCAGGGUGAGUCGACCCCUAAGGCGAGGCCGAAAGGCGUAGUCGAUGGGAAACGGGUUAAUAUUCCCGUACUUGGUGUUACUGCGAAGGGGGGACGGAGAAGGCUAUGUUGGCCGGGCGACGGUUGUCCCGGUUUAAGCGUGUAGGCUGGUUUUCCAGGCAAAUCCGGAAAAUCAAGGCUGAGGCGUGAUGACGAGGCACUACGGUGCUGAAGCAACAAAUGCCCUGCUUCCAGGAAAAGCCUCUAAGCAUCAGGUAACAUCAAAUCGUACCCCAAACCGACACAGGUGGUCAGGUAGAGAAUACCAAGGCGCUUGAGAGAACUCGGGUGAAGGAACUAGGCAAAAUGGUGCCGUAACUUCGGGAGAAGGCACGCUGACACGUAGGUGAAGUGAUUUACUCAUGGAGCUGAAGUCAGUCGAAGAUACCAGCUGGCUGCAACUGUUUAUUAAAAACACAGCACUGUGCAAACACGAAAGUGGACGUAUACGGUGUGACGCCUGCCCGGUGCCGGAAGGUUAAUUGAUGGGGUCAGCGCAAGCGAAGCUCCUGAUCGAAGCCCCGGUAAACGGCGGCCGUAACUAUAACGGUCCUAAGGUAGCGAAAUUCCUUGUCGGGUAAGUUCCGACCUGCACGAAUGGCGUAAUGAUGGCCAGGCUGUCUCCACCCGAGACUCAGUGAAAUUGAACUCGCUGUGAAGAUGCAGUGUACCCGCGGCAAGACGGAAAGACCCCGUGAACCUUUACUAUAGCUUGACACUGAACAUUGAGCCUUGAUGUGUAGGAUAGGUGGGAGGCUUUGAAGUGUGGACGCCAGUCUGCAUGGAGCCGACCUUGAAAUACCACCCUUUAAUGUUUGAUGUUCUAACGUGGACCCGUUACCCGGGUUGCGGACAGUGUCUGGUGGGUAGUUUGACUGGGGCGGUCUCCUCCUAAAGAGUAACGGAGGAGCACGAAGGUUGGCUAAUCCUGGUCGGACAUCAGGAGGUUAGUGCAAUGGCAUAAGCCAGCUUGACUGCGAGCGUGACGGCGCGAGCAGGUGCGAAAGCAGGUCAUAGUGAUCCGGUGGUUCUGAAUGGAAGGGCCAUCGCUCAACGGAUAAAAGGUACUCCGGGGAUAACAGGCUGAUACCGCCCAAGAGUUCAUAUCGACGGCGGUGUUUGGCACCUCGAUGUCGGCUCAUCACAUCCUGGGGCUGAAGUAGGUCCCAAGGGUAUGGCUGUUCGCCAUUUAAAGUGGUACGCGAGCUGGGUUUAGAACGUCGUGAGACAGUUCGGUCCCUAUCUGCCGUGGGCGCUGGAGAACUGAGGGGGGGCUGCUCCUAGUACGAGAGGACCGGAGUGGACGCAUCACUGGUGUUCGGGUUGUCAUGCCAAUGGCACUGCCCGGUAGCUAAAUGCGGAAGAGAUAAGUGCUGAAAGCAUCUAAGCACGAAACUUGCCCCGAGAUGAGUUCUCCCUGAGACUUAGAGUCUCCUGAAGGAACGUUGAAGACGACGACGUUGAUAGGCCGGGUGUGUAAGCGCAGCGAUGCGUUGAGCUAACCGGUACUAAUGAACCGUGAGGCUUAACCUU